rnacentral:misc_RNA from 1 species
GUUUUAUGAGAUUAUGCCGGGGAAGGUUUUCCGGUUUAUCCCGGAGGGCUUGUAGCUCAGUUGGUUAGAGCGCGCGCUUGAUAAGCGUGAGGUCGGAGGUUCAAGUCCUCCCAGGCCCACCAAUUUAAUUAAGUGCUGAUCAAAUGCUGAUCAAGUGCUUAUAUGCAUUAAAUUGUAUGCAUGCAUAUGUUUGCGUGAUCAUGUAAUGACGCAUUGACUAAAAUAUGAUGUUUAUCAAUUACGCUGAAACAAUUUAAACUCAAAUUUAAUUCUGGGUUUCAAUUUUUUACCCUUUUAGGGGCCGUAGCUCAGCUGGGAGAGCACCUGCUUUGCAAGCAGGGGGUCGUCGG